rnacentral:rRNA from 1 species
CCUACGGGAGGCAGCAGUGAGGAAUUUUCUGCAAUGGGCGAAAGCCUGACAGAGCAAUACCGCGUGAGGGAUGAAGGCCUACGGGUUGUAAACCUCUUUUCUCAAGGAGGAAGAUCUGACGUUACUUGAGGAAUAAGCAUCGGCUAACCCUGUGCCAGCAGCCGCGGUAAUACAGGGGAUGCAAGUGUUAUCCGGAAUUAUUGGGCGUAAAGCGUCUGCAGGUUGAUAUUUAAGUCUUUUGUUAAACCUCCGGGCUCAACCCGGAAUCUGCAAAGGAAACUAUAUAUCUUGAGUAUGGUAGGGGUAAAGGGAAUUUCCAGUGGAGCGGUGAAAUGCGUAGAUAUUGGAAAGAACACCAACAGCGAAGGCACUUUACUGGGCCAGUACUGACACUCAGAGACGAAAGCUAGGGGAGCAAACAGGAUUAGAUACCCUGGUAGUCCUAGCUGUAAACGAUGGAUACUAGAUGUUGUGUACCUUUGGGUAUGCAGUGUCGUAGCUAACGCGUUAAGUAUCCGCCUGGGAAGUAUGCUUCGCAAGAGUGAACUCAAAUGAAUUGAGG